rfam:Loxodonta africana unplaced genomic scaffold scaffold_139, whole genome shotgun sequence.
GGCCGGUUAGCUCAGUUGGUGAGAGCGUGGUGCUAAUAACGCCAAGGUCACGGAUUCGAUCCCCGUAUAGGCCA